ACCACACCUACAGCAAAGGAGGCUGAAUAUUUGGGCUGUUUCCACCUUUUGGCUAUCGUGAAUAAUGCUGCUAUGAAGACUGGUGUACAAGUCUUUGAGUCCCUGCUUUCAAUUCUUUUGGACAUAUCCCUGAAGUGGAAUAACUGUAUCAUAAGAUCCCUGCAAAUACCAGCAAUUUCUGUUCCCUCAGCCUUGAAGUCCUGGGGAAAAGGCAGUGAGUGAAUUUUCUUUGUAAUGAUUCUUGUAAACCAAAUAAAGACUAGUAAUG